rnacentral:rRNA from 1 species
AUACGUAGGGUGCGAGCGUUAAUCGGAAUUACUGGGCGUAAAGCGUGCGCAGGCGGCUUUAUAAGCCAGAUGUGAAAUCCGGGGCUCAACCUGGGAACUGCAUUUGGAACUGUAAGGCUAGAGUACGGCAGAGGGGGGUAGAAUUCCACGUGUAGCAGUGAAAUGCGUAGAUAUGUGGAGGAAUACCGAUGGCGAAGGCAGCCCCCUGGGUCGAUACUGACGCUCAUGCACGAAAGCGUGGGGAGCAAACAGGAUUAGAAACCCUAGUAGUCC